rnacentral:rRNA from 1 species
GCAUAUAAUUAAGGGGAGGAAAAGAAACCAACUCGGAUUCCCCUAGUAACGGCGAGUGAAGCGGGAAGAGCUCAUGUUGUAAAUCUCCAGCUUGCUGGCGAAUUGUAGUCUAAAGGUGCGUGCUCAGUCGUGGUCCCGGGCUAAGUCUGUUGGAAAACAGCAUCAUGGACGGUGACAAUCCGGUUCUUGCCUGGGGUCCCGCGGCGUACGAGCCGUUUCCGACGAGUCGUGUUGCUUGGGAUUGCAGCACUAAGUGGGUGGUAAAUUCCAUCUAAAGCUAAAUAUUGGUGGGAGACCGAUAGCGAACAAGUACCGUGAGGGAAAGAUGAAAAGACUUUUGAAAAGAGAGUAAAAUAGUACCUGAAACUGCUGAAAGGGAAGCGAUUGAAGUCAGUGUUGCUCCUGGUCUUUUUGCCGUCGCCCCCGUGGGGGUUGCGGCGUGGGGCCUGGAGCGUUUCAACAUGCGUUCUGUUCCGCGGGAAAUGUUCAGUGUGCUGGAACCUUCGGGGAAACGCACUGUUCUUGUCGUGGUUAGGACGGAGGACCUUUGCUCCUUUGACUGCGCGUUCCUCUCUCGGGUAUGCUGGUGUCUACUGCUUGCAGUUUUCAUUUUCAUGCUUGCGACUGUGCGUGUUAUUCAUGAGCGAACAUGAUGUUGAAGAAAUGGCUUUAAUUACCCCCGUCUUGAAA